rnacentral:rRNA from 1 species
GGGGAAUAUUGGACAAUGGGGGCAACCCUGAUCCAGCAAUGCCGCGUGUGUGAAGAAGGUCUUCGGAUUGUAAAGCACUUUCGACGGGGACGAUGAUGACGGUACCCGUAGAAGAAGCCCCGGCUAACUUCGUGCCAGCAGCCGCGGUAAUACGAAGGGGGCUAGCGUUGCUCGGAAUGACUGGGCGUAAAGGGCGUGUAGGCGGUUUACACAGUCAGAUGUGAAAUCCCCGGGCUUAACCUGGGAGCUGCAUUUGAUACGUGUAGACUAGAGUGUGAGAGAGGGUUGUGGAAUUCCCAGUGUAGAGGUGAAAUUCGUAGAUAUUGGGAAGAACACCGGUGGCGAAGGCGGCAACCUGGCUCAUGACUGACGCUGAGGCGCGAAAGCGUGGGGAGCAAACAGGAUUAGAUACCCUGGUAGUCCACGCUGUAAACGAUGUGUGCUAGAUGUUGGGUAACUUUGUUAUUCAGUGUCGCAGUUAACGCGUUAAGCACACCGCCUGGGGAGUACGGCCGCAAGGUUGAAACUCUAAGUGA